AAUUUUUUAUUGUUUGAAUGUGAGUGGUUAUAAAUGGUGGUAGGGUUAGUAUUUGUAGAACAUUUUUUGUAAACACCACUUAAAUAAUUUGGUUUUAAAACCUUGACAAUCCAAGGAUUUUAAGUCAUUUGGCAAAUGGUUGAAGAUUUUGACAGACAUGAAAAGAAUAGAUUUUUCAAAAUGAGCAGAAUUAUGACAUGGGUAACUGAUAUUGAGUCCAUGGAAUUUAGAAGUUGACCUAGGGUUAGAUUUCAUGAUGUUGUACUGACUAAUAUGAGUUUUCACAAAGAGACAU